GCCCCCAUAGCUCAAUUGGAAGAGCAGUUGCCUCUUAAGCAAUUGGUUCUAGGUUCGAGUCCUAGUGGGGGCA
rnacentral:tRNA from 1 species